UACGUAGGGGGCGAGCGUUAUCCGGAAUUAUUGGGCGUAAAGAGUGCGUAGGUGGUCUUGUAAGCGUGGGUGAAAGGCAGUGGCUUAACCAUUGUUAGCCUUGCGAACUGUGAGACUUGAGUGCAGGAGAGGAAAGUGGAAUUCCUAGUGUAGCGGUGAAAUGCGUAGAUAUUAGGAGGAACACCAGUGGCGAAGGCGACUUUCUGGACUGUAACUGACACUGAGGCACGAAAGCGUGGGGAGCAAACAGGAUUAGAUACCCUGGUAGU
rnacentral:rRNA from 1 species